rnacentral:lncRNA from 1 species
CCAGGCUUUUAUUAAACACACAGUGACUAAAUGAACAUUAACAAGGGUGGCAUGCUUGAAAGUGUAAGUCAAGCUCACAAGAAUGAAUCUGAUACAUUGUAAAACAACAUGCUUACUCAACACAGUUAGUAUUGCACAUCAAUUGUUUAUUAAGUGUUGAGCCACACAGAACAAGCUAACUGCCAUAGACUACCAAAGACUACCCUGGAAAAUAAAGCAAGACUUUCCUCCCACCCAUGGUUUAUGAGCACAAAGACAUCUUAUUAUCAACAAAAAUGACAGCCAAAUAAAGAACAAAAUCUAGAGCCACUGGCAUCAGCUUUGCACACAGAAAACAUUUCUCCCCGGAUAAAACAGAAAUUAUUUCUUCACUGACAAGUCGAUCACAGAUUUCUGGUUAGUUUUGGAAACACAGGGCCACAUGUAACCAUGAUUUCACGAAAACAGGGUGAUGAUUAUUUUUCUCUCAUUCCAGUUUGCAGGUAUACUUCUUUUUAACUUUUGAUCUCUACAGGAAAACAAAACAGCAUGAACUUAGGGGCUAUAAAUAAAUAGAAAAUAGAGCGGCAGUGUUGCUCAGUGGUGGUGCACCUACCUAAAAGGCAUAAGAUACUUGUUCCAUUCCCAGCACCACCAAAAUGAAAAUAAGAAUUUUAUGUACUUCUAAAUUGAGUACAGAGAAGGACUAUACUAUUUUUGCAGUGAAACAAUACAACAAAUAGUUUUAACUGAAGAGUUUAGGCCAGGCAGUAGUAAAGCACUCCUUUAAUCCCAGCACUCAGGAGGCAGAGGUGGGCAGAACUCUGAGUUUGAGGCCAGCCUGGUCUAUAGAGCGAGUUCUGGAAAGCCAGAGCUACACAGAGAAACCCUGUCUCAGAAAACAAACAAAAGCCCCAAAUGAGCCAGGAGUUAGUGGCUCAUGCCUUCAAUCCCAGCACUUGGGAGGCAGAGGCAGGCAGAUCUCUGUGAGUUCGAGGCCAGCCUGGUCUACAGAGCAAGUUCCAGGACAACCUCCAAGGCUACACAGAG